rnacentral:rRNA from 1 species
UACGGAGGGUGCAAGCAUUAAUCGGAUUUAUUGGGCGUAAAGGGCGCAUAGGCUGGUUUGUAAGUCAGAUGUGAAAUCCCGGGGCUCAACCUCGGAACAGCAUUUGAAACUGCAUACCUAGAGGGUAGGCGGAGAAAACGGAAUUCCACAAGUAGCGGUGAAAUGCGUAGAUAUGUGGAAGAACACCGGUGGCGAAGGCGGUUCUCUGGGCCUGACCUGACGCUGAGGAGCGAAAGCGUGGGUAGCAAACAGG